rnacentral:tRNA from 8 species
GGAAUGAGAUGGGGUCUGGUGGCCCUCUUGGUCUUCAAAACCAAAGUGAGCCGCACAGGCUUUGGUAGGUUCGAUUCCUGCCUCUUCCGCCA